CUCUCUCUCUUUCUUUUCUCCUCCUCUCAGGAUAUCAAAGCAGACUGCAAUACUUGUGUGGAAAUAGAGGACAGAAAGGUUUCCUGUGGCUGUUGUAACAAAAUAUACUAAGUCUCCUACAUACAGAUAUUCACAGAGUACAUUCAUAAGUCCAGUUUGUUUGUAAAUCCAACAACAUUGGGCUUCCCAGGUAGUAAAGAACUCACCUGC
rnacentral:lncRNA from 1 species